rnacentral:rRNA from 1 species
GCAAGUCGAACGGUAGAGGGGGCAACCUCUCGAGAGUGGCGAACGGGUGAGUAAUAUAUCGGAACGUGCCCAGUCGUGGGGGAUAACGUAGCGAAAGUUACGCUAAUACCGCAUACGAUCUACGGAUGAAAGCGGGGGACUCGCAAGAGCCUCGCGCGAUUGGAGCGGCCGAUAUCAGAUUAGGUAGUUGGUGGGGUAAAGGCUCACCAAGCCAACGAUCUGUAGCUGGUCUGAGAGGACGACCAGCCACACUGGAACUGAGACACGGUCCAGACUCCUACGGGAGGCAGCAGUGGGGAAUUUUGGACAAUGGACGCAAGUCUGAUCCAGCCAUUCCGCGUGCAGGAUGAAGGCCCUCGGGUUGUAAACUGCUUUUGUACGGAACGAAAAGGUUUCCAUUAAUACUGGGAGCUCAUGACGGUACCGUAAGAAUAAGCACCGGCUAACUACGUGCCAGCAGCCGCGGUAAUACGUAGGGUGCGAGCGUUAAUCGGAAUUACUGGGCGUAAAGCGUGCGCAGGCGGUUAUACAAGACAGGCGUGAAAUCCCCGGGCUUAACCUGGGAAUGGCGCCUGUGACUGUAUAGCUAGAGUGUGUCAGAGGGGGGUAGAAUUCCACGUGUAGCAGUGAAAUGCGUAGAUAUGUGGAGGAAUACCAAUGGCGAAGGCAGCCCCCUGGGAUAACACUGACGCUCAUGCACGAAAGCGUGGGGAGCAAACAGGAUUAGAUACCCUGGUAGUCCACGCCCUAAACGAUGCUGACUAGUUGUUCGGGAUUUACAUCCUGAGUAACGUAGCUAACGCGUGAAGUCAGCCGCCUGGGGAGUACGGUCGCAAGAUUAAAACUCAAAGGAAUUGACGGGGACCCGCACAAGCGGUGGAUGAUGUGGAUUAAUUCGAUGCAACGCGAAAAACCUUACCUACCCUUGACAUGUCACUAACGAAGUAGAGAUACAUU